GAUGAACGCUGGCGGCGUGCCUAAUACAUGCAAGUCGAGCGAACAGACGAGGAGCUUGCUCCUCUGACGUUAGCGGCGGACGGGUGAGUAACACGUGGAUAACCUACCUAUAAGACUGGGAUAACUUCGGGAAACCGGAGCUAAUACCGGAUAAUAUAUUGAACCGCAUGGUUCAAUAGUGAAAGACGGUUUUGCUGUCACUUAUAGAUGGAUCCGCGCCGCAUUAGCUAGUUGGUAAGGUAACGGCUUACCAAGGCAACGAUGCGUAGCCGGCCUGAGAGGGUGAUCGGCCACACUGAAACUGAGACACGGUCCAGACUCCUACGGGAGGCAGCAGUAGGGAAUCUUCCGCAAUGGGCGAAAGCCUGACGGAGCAACGCCGCGUGAGUGAUGAAGGUCUUCGGAUCGUAAAACUCUGUUAUUAGGGAAGAACAAAUGUGUAAGUAACUAUGCGCGUCUUGACGGUACCUAAUCAGAAAGCCACGGCUAACUACGUGCCAGCCGCCGCGGUAA
rnacentral:rRNA from 1 species